rnacentral:rRNA from 1 species
AUUGAACGCUGGCGGCAUGCCUUACACAUGCAAGUCGAACGGCAGCACGGGAGCAAUCCUGGUGGCGAGUGGCGAACGGGUGAGUAAUAUAUCGGAACGUGCCCGGUCGUGGGGGAUAACGUAGCGAAAGCUACGCUAAUACCGCAUACGAUCUACGGAUGAAAGCGGGGGAUCGCAAGACCUCGCGCGAUUGGAGCGGCCGAUAUCAGAUUAGGUAGUUGGUGAGGUAAAGGCUCACCAAGCCGACGAUCUGUAGCUGGUCUGAGAGGACGACCAGCCACACUGGGACUGAGACACGGCCCAGACUCCUACGGGAGGCAGCAGUGGGGGAAUUUUGGGACAAUGGGCGCAAGCCUGAUCCAGCAAUGCCGCGUGCAGGAUGAAGGCUCGGUUGU